UACGUAGGGUGCGAGCGUUGUCCGGAAUUACUGGGCGUAAAGAGCUCGUAGGUGGUUUGUCGCGUUGUUCGUGAAAACUCACAGCUUAACUGUGGGCGUGCGGGCGAUACGGGCAGACUGGAGUACUGCAGGGGAGACUGGAAUUCCUGGUGUAGCGGUGGAAUGCGUAGAUAUCUGGAGGAACACCGGUGGCGAAGGCGGCAUCCUGGACCGACACUGACGCUGAGGAGCGAAAGCCAGGGGAGCAAACGGG
rnacentral:rRNA from 1 species